rnacentral:rRNA from 1 species
CACGUAGGGCGCAAGCGUUGUCCGGAAUUAUUGGGCGUCAAGAGCUCGUAGGCGGUCUGUUGCGUCCGCUGUGAAAACUCGGGGCUUAACCCCGAGCCUGCAGUGGAUACGGGCAGACUAGAGGUAGGUAGGGGAGAAUGGAAUUCCCGGUGUAGCGGUGAAAUGCGCAGAUAUCGGGAGGAACACCGGUGGCGAAGGCGGUUCUCUGGGCCUUACCUGACGCUGAGGAGCGAAAGCGUGGGGAGCGAACAGG